UCAGGAAAUGUCCAUCGUGACCUUUUUUAAACGCUCUCGGCGUUACUCUAAACUUUAUUGAAACGUCAGACGGUUCUGACUCCUCCUCUUCCUGUGCAGGGUCCCGAGGAGCUGAAAGUGGGCGGAGUCACGAGCAGACCCUGGUGCGAGGAUCGUGGGUGGAGACGGCGAGACUCGGGCGGCAGGAGCCUCCUUCACGGCCGCCCCGGGUCUCAAUGAGAGUGUCAGGGCUGAAGAAUGCCUCGCCCGCCUCCUCCCUCCUGCUCCGCUCGCCGGGAUUCAGCCCGCGUCCAGCCGUCUGACAGCUUCCCCGCCGACAUGGCCCGGCGACUGAAGGGACCACACACGCUCCGUGUUCGCCAUGCCGGGCUGAUUCUUCUCCUUGGCUUUUGGGUUGAGGUUUACUGGAAAUCUGCAGACAAACAAACAGACGGAGUGAAAACUUCACCUGAGGCCGACACCACGGUGAGAAUGAGGUCGUACAUCGGUUCACCGCUUGCACAUGCGUAUCAUCACGCCCCCCCAUGAAUUACAACGAGGACGUAACUCGACGUAAUCUCAUGUAUUUGUUUAUGUAUGUAUAUUUCAUAACGUAUCAAAAUGAAGAAUAUAUUCGGUUUUAAAAAUAAACAAUCGCUUCAUCUUUAUGGCCUCAACGUAUGUACUGUACCGCUCUUUUUUCUAUUUUCCGCCACCGUCAGAGGAAACGGAAUUAUGAAUCUCCUGAACAACCAAUCACGUUGCGACCUCUCAUCCCCAACCAGAGCUCCAUGACUCUGGUUGUGACUCUCCAUUCUGUUUGUGUUUUUAAUCAGGAA
rnacentral:lncRNA from 1 species